GAUGAACGCUGACAGAAUGCUUAACACAUGCAAGUCUACUUGAUUCUACUUCGGUAGUUGAUGGUGGCGGACGGGUGAGUAACGCGUAAAGAAUCUGCCCUUUAGUUUGGGAUAACCUUUGGAAACGAAGGCUAAUACCGGAUAUUAUGGAGACGUCGCAUGGCGACUCCAUGAAAGCUAUAUGCGCUAGAGGAGGACUUUGCGUCCCAUUAGUUAGUUGGUGAGGUAAUGGCUCACCAAGACCGCGAUGGGUAGCCGGCCUGAGAGGGUGAUCGGCCACAAGGGAACUGAGACACGGUCCUUACUCCUACGGGAGGCAGCAGUGGGGAAUAUUGGACAAUGGGCCACAAGCCUGAUCCAGCAAUUCUGUGUGCACGAUGAAGGUCUUCGGAUUGUAAAGUGCUUUCAGUAGGGAGGAAAAAAUGACGGUACCUACAGAAGAAGCGACGGCUAAAUAUGUGCCAGCCGCCGCCGUAACAC
rnacentral:rRNA from 1 species